CACUGGCAGAGCCUUUCAGAAGAUGGCUAUAAAAACCUGCAUAUGGAUUUCAUAGCAUUCACCCCGGAAGCAUCCCCAGUGCCCAUCAACCAUAGGAUGGAUAAAGAAGCUGUUGUACACACACGUUGUACAUACACUCAGUGGAGCGAAGAAAGGAGAAGGAACUGAUGCAUCCAGACACAUGGAGAAAUCUCUCAAGAUGUUUUGGGAAAGAAGCCAAUACAGAACACUGCAGCCUGAGUGUGAAUUUGUGAAACUCAAAAAGCAAGCAGCAGCAAUCAAUACUGUGAGAAGGAAGGAUGCUGGUUUCCAUGGUGGGGCAACAAGGAUGAGCUGGCUCGAGGCUGGUUUCUGGAGGGCUGCUCAUGUCAGUCACAGGACCUGAGUCUGAAUCACAAAAAUUCCCCUAUAUUAGAAAAUUCAAA